UACAGAGGUCUCAAGCGUUGUUCGGAUUCAUUGGGCGUAAAGGGUGCGUAGGUGGCGAGGUAAGUUGGAUGUGAAAUCCCGGGGCUCAACCCCGGAACUGCAUUCAAUACUGCCUUGCUAGAGUACUGGAGAGGAGAUUGGAAUUUACGGUGUAGCAGUGAAAUGCGUAGAUAUCGUAAGGAAGACCAGUGGCGAAGGCGGAUCUCUGGACAGUUACUGACACUGAGGCACGAAGGCCAGGGGAGCAAACAGG
rnacentral:rRNA from 1 species